CUCCAGGGAGAGUUAAUGAAAGAGAGCUUGUUGGGGUGGAGCCCAGCUUCGACUGACUGUCCAGACCCAGUAGAGCUGAGCAGUGGGGAAACGGAGGAGCUUCAGCUGAUCAAAUGGCACCGGAAGCAGCUUCUGGAGGACAUCCAGAAGCUGAAGGAUGAGAUUGCAGAUGUGUUUGCCCAAAUCGACUGCUUCGAGACCAUGGAGGAGAGCCGGACAGUCCAGAAGGAGAAGAAGCUAUGCAUUGGGCGCAAGAAGUUCAACAUGGACCCCGUGAAGGGCAUCCAGUAUCUCAUUGAGCACAAGCUGCUGACCCCCGAAGCCCAGGACAUCGCCCAGUUCCUGUACAAGGGCGAGGGCCUCAACAAGACGGCCAUUGGCAACUACUUGGGGGAGAGGGACCCCAUCAACCUGCAGGUCCUCCAGGCUUUUGUGGACUGCCAUGAGUUCGCCAACCUCAACCUCGUUCAGGCCCUCAGGCAGUUCCUGUGGAGUUUCCGGCUGCCAGGCGAAGCCCAGAAGAUCGACCGGAUGAUGGAGACCUUUGCCUCUCGAUACUGCUUCUGCAAUCCAGGUGUCUUCCAGUCCACAGACACCUGCUACGUCCUGUCCUUCUCCAUCAUCAUGCUCAACACAAGCCUCCACAACCCCAACGUCCGGGACAAGCCGCCCUUCGAGCGCUUUGUGUCCAUGAACCGCGGCAUCAAUGAUGGCAGCGACCUGCCAGAGGAGCAGCUGCGGAACCUCUUCGACAGCAUCAAGAGCGAGCCCUUCUCCAUCCCUGAGGACGAUGGCAAUGAUCUCACUCACACCUUCUUCAACCCUGACCGCGAGGGCUGGCUACUCAAGCUGGGGGGCCGUGUGAAGACGUGGAAACGGCGCUGGUUCAUCCUGACCGACAGCUGCCUCUAUUACUUUGAGUUCACCACUGACAAGGAGCCACGGGGAAUCAUACCCCUUGAGAACCUCUCAGUGCAGAAGGUGGAUGACCCCAAGAAGCCAUUCUGCCUGGAGCUCUACAACCCCAGCUGCCGGGGCCAGAAGAUAAAAGCCUGCAAGACAGAUGGUGACGGCAAGGUGGUGGAGGGCAAGCAUGAGUCUUACCGGAUCUCGGCCUCCAGUGCCGAGGAGCGGGACCAAUGGAUCGAGGCCAUCCGGCACAAUGCCAGGCCCCAGGACACAGGGGAGUGAGGCACCAACUUCAUGGGGCUGGUGGGAGGAGCAAGCGAGACAUGGCACGUAAAGCUCUUAGCCCAGCACCUGGCACUUGAUGAGGAAACUGAGGUCCAGAGAGGGAAGGCACUGGCCCAGGGCCACAUAGACCGUGAGGGACAGAGCCAGGCCAAGCAAGCAGAGCCAGCAUCACCCGUGUCCCCUUCUACGACCUGGUCUCUGCUCGGAAGAAGAAGAUUGCCAGCAAGCAGUGAGCCUUCUGGGAGGUGGCUCUGGGGGCUGGGCGUCCAGGAAACCCCAUGACUGUGGUACCUAGAGACCCACCUCCCAACCCAGGGCACCCUGUCCUGGCCUGCAGACACUGUCACCCUCCCCCCAUUACUUCAAGUUGACAAGAUGGGGGAGACAGAGCUCAGGAGGGUGGGCGGGAACUGCCAAGGGCUCAGAGCCAGCAAUGAGGCCCCUUGGCACCCAGCUGCUGCCAGGAAAGGCCUGAGGAAAACAGCUGAAGAGAAACCAGCCUCAGAACCCGGCCCCCUGUUCUCCUUCUGGGCCUCAGUUUCCUCUUCUGUGAAUGUCUCCUUGCACUCCGAAAUACCGCCAGUCCUCACAGUAGGAAGGACUGUGAGGUUCCUGAGCUCCGUUUCCAGAGCGCUGUGUGCCCUCUGCCCAAGUCACACUCCUCCUCUGGUUCUUGGAACGCUGUGGUGUUUGGAUAGAAAUGUCUCGGGCCCUCAGGCUCUGUGCUCCCGGCCAUACUGCCUGGUCACAGUAGGCACAACCCCAGUGCAGGUUCCAGUGGCUGGACUGCUUUCUCCAGGCAGAAGGACAAGAGUGCACCAGGCCUCCCUAAGGAUCUUCUGGCUGGAGAUGUCUGCACUUGUUGACUGACCUGGAGGGGACUCUGGACUGAAAGCUGCUGGGAGCUGAGAGCAGAGUGGGUUCUACCCUCAGGAUGUCCAUUUCAGGGGAGGGCCAGGUGGGACACCUCAAGAAAAUGUGUGAGAACAUCCCAGACAGAUGUACUCAAGCAGCCCAAGGGGUACAAUCAAGAAGCCGAAAAGAGAGAGCUUUGUGGAUGUGGUUACCAGGAGGACUUCCUGGAGGCAGUAGCCAAGCGAAUGAGUGACACAAAAGUUCGAGGCAGUCUCAGCCAAGGCUUUCCUGCGAGACUGCUGAGCUGGAGUCCCUUGGUGGUAAGGGGCGCCUAGCUGGGUCUUCACAUCCCGAAACCCUCUGCAGCAGCACUAUAGACAGUUGAGCUGACUUCCCAGCACACUGGCAGGCAGCUCUGUCUCCAGGGAGGCCCCAGCCUGGAGGAGGAUUCCGUGAAUUCUCAGAAGCACUUCUCACCCCCUCACUGGGGCCCUGGGGGAGCCCCUGGAGGGAAGUUCCCUGGCAGGAAAGCAGGAUAUAUGGGGUUGUCUCUGCCCCAACGCUAGCCUGAGUGGGCAAGCGGGAGCAAGGUGGUUCCCCAGGGGAGGGGAGACAACCUCUCCUCUCCUCCACUCCCACCCCCACAUGCACGCCUUCCACACGGUCAGGAUGCCUUGUGAAGUGGUAAGACCCUUGUUUCUGGGAGUGUGCAAGUGCCUGUAAUUAUAUUGCACUGAAGAGGAUCUGGGUUGGGGGGUGCAGGAGGAAGCCGUGCAGGAUGUUUCAGGACUUCCACAGAUCCCAUGUCAGCCUGGGGCUAAGUGCCACCUCUGCCACCUCAUUGGCCCAUUAAGGGGCAUCCAGGGUCCAGGGGAGGAGCACUGGUCUAAGGCUCAUGGGGUCUGAGGUCCUCUCCUGCCACAGGCAUGUACUGGCUGUGUGAUCUUAGUCCACUCCCUUCCCCUCUCUGGUCCUCAGCUCCUCCCCCAUCAUUGAGGGGGCGGAAUCAGUGAUUUUCUGGGCAUGAGUGACUGUUUGGGAAUCACUCAGAAGAGAGAAUAAAGCUCGUGAUCCACCUUGUGA